GGAACGAACGCUGGCGGCAUGCCUAAUACAUGCAAGUCGAACGAACACUUCGGUGUUAGUGGCGCACGGGUGCGUAACGCGUGGGAAUCUGCCCUUGGGUUCGGAAUAACAGUUGGAAACGACUGCUAAUACCGGAUGAUAUCGAAAGAUCAAAGAUUUAUCGCCCAGGGAUGAGCCCGCGUAGGAUUAGCUAGUUGGUGAGGUAAAGGCUCACCAGGGCGACGAUCCUUAGCUGGUCUGAGAGGAUGAUCAGCCACACUGGGACUGAGACACGGCCCAGACUCCUACGGGAGGCAGCAGUGGGGAAUCUUGCGCAAUGGGCGAAAGCCUGACGCAGCCAUGCCGCGUGAAUGAUGAAGGUCUUAGGAUUGUAAAAUUCUUUCACCGGGACGAUAAUGAACGGUACCGGAGAAGAAGCCCCGGCUAAACUUCGUGCCAGCAAGCCGC
rnacentral:rRNA from 1 species